CACAGUGCUCCACCCUCAUUGAUGUCCCAAAUGGCAUCUAGCAGAAGAAAGGUCAGAAACAAAAAACUUCAAGUUCGAAAGAUUUAAAGGCAGGUUAUCAGGAGUUGGACUGGAGCCCCAAACCAUGCAGGCUGUAAGCCAUCUGGACAUGGACAGGGCUGGGAAAUACCAUUUUGCAACAGCUAUAGCCUGAGCAGCCACAUGGAUGAGGACAUAGAUGGUCAAUGCCACUUAACAACCACUUCUUUUUUACCUGGGGGUCAAGAAAAGGACAAGAGAAAUGUUUUACAGUGUCCACUUUUGUCCAAAAUGGGAGUUUCUAAACAGGGAAAUGUCUAGGGAAGUAAGUGAGUUUUGAGAAGCUUGGCAAUAAAGUAACAGAAUGAGAAUACUGGGGGAAGGACAUGAGCAACUAAAAGAAAAGAAGAUGAAGAGGAAGAGGAAGAAGAAGGAGAAGAAGAGGAAGAAGCAGAAGAAGAAAAGGGAUGGGAAGGGGAGGGGAAGGAAGGGGAGGGGAGGGAGGAAUGAAGGGAGGAAGGAGGAAGGAAGGGAGGAAGAAAGGAAGGAAGGAAAGGAAGAGAGUGCUCAGAUAUAUCAAGAAGGUUGAAGUUUUGCCUAUAAUCUAAUGGAGAUUGAGUAAAGAGUCACUUGAAGGCUAUGCUUACUGAAAUGAUAGUCUUGUCAGUAAUGAAAAAGAUGUAUCUGGGUUGGUUAGAUGGGGUGUGGUUAAAGGAUUAAACUAAUUUUUUUAGUAAUGUCUCACUUUACUAAUCCUAAUUGUAGAGACUAA